rnacentral:tRNA from 1 species
GUGUGGGUGGCUCAGUCAGUUGAGCACCUGACUUUGGUUCAGGUCAUGAUCUCACAGUUCGUGAGUUCAAGCCCCACAUCAGGCU